UGAACGCUGGCGGCAGGCCUAACACAUGCGAGUCGAGCGGAUGAAGGGAGCUUGCUCCUGGAUUCAGCGGCGGACGGGUGAGUAAUGCCUAGGAAUCUGCCUGGUAGUGGGGGAUAACGUCCGGAAACGGGCGCUAAUACCGCAUACGUCCUGAGGGAGAAAGUGGGGGAUCUUCGGACCUCACGCUAUCAGAUGAGCCUAGGUCGGAUUAGCUAGUUGGUGGGGUAAAGGCCUACCAAGGCGACGAUCCGUAACUGGUCUGAGAGGAUGAUCAGUCACACUGGAACUGAGACACGGUCCAGACUCCUACGGGAGGCAGCAGUGGGGAAUAUUGGACAAUGGGCGAAAGCCUGAUCCAGCCAUGCCGCGUGUGUGAAGAAGGUCUUCGGAUUGUAAAGCACUUUAAGUUGGGAGGAAGGGCAGUAAGUUAAUACCUUGCUGUUUUGACGUUACCAACAGAAUAAGCACCGGCUAACUUCGUG
rnacentral:rRNA from 1 species